rnacentral:rRNA from 1 species
AUAUCAAUAAGCGGAGGAAAAGAAACUAACGAGGAUUCCCCUAGUAACUGCGAGUGAAGCGGGAAAAGCUCAAAUUUAAAAUCUGGCGGUCUUUGGCCGUCCGAGUUGUAGUCUGGAGAAGCGUCUUCUACGCCGGACCGUGUACAAGUCCCUUGGAACGGGGCGUCAUAGAGGGUGAGAAUCCCGUCCAUGACACGGACCGCCGGCGGUUUGUGAUGCGCUCUCGAAGAGUCGAGUUGUUUGGGAAUGCAGCUCAAAACGGGUGGUAAAUUCCAUCUAAAGCUAAAUACUGGCGAGAGACCGAUAGCGAACAAGUACCGUGAGGGAAAGAUGAAAAGCACUUUGGAAAGAGAGUUAAACAGUACGUGAAAUUGCUGAAAGGGAAACGCUUGAAGUCAGUCGCGUCGGCCGGGGCUCAGCCUUGCAUUCGUUUGCUCGGUUUACUUCCCGGUCGACGGGCCAGCGUCGAUUUUGACCGUCGGAGAAGGGCCAGAGGAAAGUGGCACCUUCGGGUGUGUUAUAGCCUUCGGUCGCAUACGACGGUUGGGAUCGAGGAACGCAGCACGCCUUCGAUGGCCGGGGCGUUCGUGCCCACGUAUCGUGCUUAGGAUGCUGGCGUAAUGGCUUUAAACGACCCGUCUUGAAACACGGACCAAGGAGUCUAACGUGCCUG